CCGCUCUGCCAAAAAAAAGUGCAUUAUUUUAUUCUACUUGCAAGGAGAAUAGGUCUCAGCCUGCCGUUAAGUGGCAUGAGCAACAAAGGACAACAAAUAUCACUAAGAGUAAUGCCCAUACAUAU